UGGGGUUUUGAAUACUGUCUCCAGGAUUCC
rnacentral:piRNA from 1 species